rnacentral:rRNA from 1 species
UACGUAGGGGGCAAGCGUUGUCCGGAUUUAUUGGGCGUAAAGAGCGUGUAGGCGACUGGGUAGGUCCGCUGUGAAAACUCGAGGCUUAACCUCGAGACGUCGGUGGAAACCAUCCAGCUAGAGUCCGGAAGAGGAGAGUGGAAUUCCUGGUGUAGCGGUGAAAUGCGCAGAUAUCAGGAAGAACACCCGUGGCGAAAGCGGCUCUCUGGGACGGUACUGACGCUGAGACGCGAAAGCGUGGGGAGCAAACAGG